UUGACCUCAAAUCGGGUGAGACUACCCGCUGAACUUAAGNNNNNNNNNNNNNNNNNNNNNNNNNNNNNNNNNNNNNNNNNNNNGUAACUGCGAGUGAAGCGGGAAAAGCUCAAAUUUAAAAUCUGGCGGUCUUUGGCCGUCCGAGUUGUAAUUUAGAGAAGCGUCUUCCGCGCCGGACCGUGCACAAGUCUCCUGGAAUGGAGCGUCAUAGAGGGUGAGAAUCCCGUCUUUGGCACGGAUGCCCGGUGCUUCUGUGAUGCGCUCUCGAAGAGUCGAGUUGUUUGGGAAUGCAGCUCAAAAUGGGUGGUGAACUCCAUCUAAAGCUAAAUAUUGGCGAGAGACCGAUAGCGAACAAGUACCGUGAGGGAAAGAUGAAAAGCACUUUGGAAAGAGAGUGAAACAGUACGUGAAAUUGUUGAAAGGGAAACGCUUGAAGUCAGUCGCGUCGACCGAGACUCAGCCUUGCCUUGGCUUGGUGUACUUCUCGGCCCGACGGGUCAGCGUCGAUUUCGCUCCUCGGAUAAUGGCAAGGGAAAGGUGGCACCUUUACGGGUGUGUUAUAGUCUCCUGUCGCAUGCGAGGGGUGGGAUCGAGGAACUCAGCGCGCACCUUGGUGUCGGGGCUUCUGCCCACGUCACGCGCUUAGGAUGCUGGCGUAAUGGCUUUAAACGACCCGUCUUGAAACACGGACCAAGGAGUCCAACACGCCCGCGAGUGUUCGGGUGGAAAACCCGUGCGCGUAAUGAAAGUGAAAGUUGGGACCUCUGUCGUGGAGGGCACCGACGCCCGGACCAGACCUUCUGUGACGGAUCUGCGGUAGAGCGUGCGUGUUGGGACCCGAAAGAUGGUGAACUAUGCCUGAAUAGGGUGAAGCCAGAGGAAACUCUGGUGGAGGCUCGUAGCGAUUCUGACGUGCAAAUCGAUCGUCAAAUUUGGGUAUAGGGGCGAAAGACUAAUCGAACCUCUAGUAGCUGG
rnacentral:rRNA from 1 species